rnacentral:snRNA from 11 species
UUACUUCCCUGGUAGAGUAGAUACCAUGAUCAAGAAGGUAGUUUUCAUUUAUUGUACUAUGGGUCUUCUGACCUCUGCGANUUCCUCAAAUAUGCAAAACUCAAUUACAUAAUUUGUGGUAGCUGGGAACUGUGUUCUUGAUCUUUCCCAGC